GCCCUUCACUACGGAAUAGCCUCUGGAAACUGAGAGUAAUACCGUAUACGCCCUUUGGGGAAAGAUUUAUCGGUGAAGGAUUAGCCCGCGUCUGAUUAGAUAGUUGGUGGGGUAACGGCCUACCAAGUCGACGAUCAGUAGCUGGUUUGAGAGGAUGAUCAGCAACACUGGGACUGAGACACGGCCCAGACUCCUACGGGAGGCAGCAGUGGGGAAUCUUAGACAAUGGGCGCAAGUGAUCUAGCCAUGCCGCGUGAGUGACGAAGGCCUUAGGGUCGUAAAGCUCUUUCGCCAGGGAUGAUAAUGACAGUACCUGGUAAAGAAACCCCGGCUAACUCCGUGCCAGCAGCCGCGGUAAUACGAAGGGGGCUAGCGUUGUUCGGAAUUACUGGGCGUAAAGCGUACGUAGGCGGACUGAUCAGUCAGGGGUGAAAUCCCGGGGCUCAACCCCGAACUGCCUUUGAUACUGUCAGUCUUGAGUUCGAGAGAGGUGAGUGGAAUUCCGAGUGUAGAGGUGAAAUUCGUAGAUAUUCGGAGGAACACCAGUGGCGAAGGGGCUCACUGGCUCGAUACCGACGCUAAGG
rnacentral:rRNA from 1 species